UAAUUCGAAAGAAACCGACAAACACCUUAUCCUAUUAACCAAGAACCAGGCCUGGAUUACUACUGUAUUAAUAAUAGUAUUGAUUUUUUCUUGGAUGCUAUUCUCUUGGUUUUCAAUUCUUAGUGGCAAUUUGAUGGUUUUGUUGACCAUUCCAUUCCAGGUCUGCCCAAUAUGUGCAGCAACUAAGAAAAGAUGCAAUUGGGCAUUUCAUAAAUGCAGCAUGCUCAAUCUUUGAAGGUAUAUCUAGAAUUCUGGAGUGUUGCCUCAGCAACAAUAGCAAGGACUGCAGGAAUUACCACCAUUUCUUGGUGCAGAUAUUCAUGAAACCUGCUCCAGAUCCACUUGAUCAACAUUUCUUUGUUCAACACCUUUUUCAGAUCCUAAAGACCACACAAAAGAUGCAUCUUCUAGUUAUGCUAUCUCAACUGCUAAGGAGAUAGGGAAGUUUUCCUCAGGUUGAAACUUAAGAACAUGGGAGCAAUCAGCCUCAGCAUGCUUUGCUAUUCCAGAAAAUAUUCCCAAGAAUCAUAUGUACAUGUCAGUAUUUUGCUCAGAAUGCAAUUCUAUAAGUUGCAACUCUUCUGCCUUUUAUUUUUUGGUAAUUAAUCUAUUUGGUUAGUCAUUUUGAUAGAAUGGGGUCGUAUUAUUUUUUGAUUGAUGAUAAAUUCAAACAGUUGAAUUUAUAGUUUUCAAGCAUCAUAUUCAGGAUGUUUAAUAUAAUAGGAUCUAAGAACAUGGGAUGCUCUCUAGUUCUCCUAGUUUGUUUAUAAAUUUUCUGUUUGGAGAUGGAGAAAAUGGAGAUGAUAGUUGAUGAGCAUUUAAUUUUAACAGCUUGCUAAAACAGCAAAAAGAGUAAAUAUCAUACAGCAGGAUCUUAUUUUGAUAAGAGAAGAUCUCCGCAUAAAUCUAUUCCUAGACUUCUUGAUUUUUAAGCCAAAUUGCAGUUAAUUAAAAACAGAUGAAGCUGAAGAGGCUAUUUGAACUGCGAGAAGUUUACUAACUUUGGGAUAAAUCUAAUCAAAUUAACUUCAUUAAUUUGAAGCCCACAGUACACUUAAGGAAUGUCUAUAAGAAGAUCAAUUGUGAGUUAAAACACAUGGCAAAGAAGAGUUCUAAGUAGUACUAGUUGAAUCCUGUUCAUCUUGUACACUACAACUUCGUUUUUUCAUUAAAAUUUGUUCUUCUUCUGUUCCUUAUAUAAUUGGGAUAAGGUGGAGCAGGUGCUUUAAUUUCGAUUCAAGAAGUCUUGAGAUAUUCUACAGAUUGAAGCCGAAUCAUUUUACUAUUAAUGCUCGAUUUUCUUGUCUGAUUUUCGUGGAAUCUUAUGAAUACCUCUUCUUACUGAUCACCCUGUCUCACCCCUACACUCCAAUCCCUCCACGGCAACCCAAAAUAGGAAAAAAAAAUCCAAGUAAAACUGGUCAGCUAAAGCUGGAACAUAUGGAAAUGGUAGAAGGCGCUUGUUGUCAAUGAAACUUUAGUAACCAGCAACACUAUGAGAAAGAAAGUCACUGGAACAUUUAAAUAUGACAGAGUGAACUGGAAUGAAGGACAGCUAAUGAUGCUUAUCAAAUUGAAGCUGGUGUUGGUGGUGAUUCUGAUGGGUUGAGGAGAAGGACUGGUGGUGGUGGUGGAUCGUGGAUGGUGAGGGCUGCAGAUGGUGGGGGUGGUGAUGAUGAUGGUGGAGAAUAUACAGGAAGUGGUAUGGUUGAAAUGUUUCCGAUUUAGGGAAGUGUUAGUGAGAUUGAAACUUAUGAACGCAUGAGGAACCAUCCUGAGCAUGCUUUGCUAUUCCAGAAAAUAUUCCUCUCAAAAAAAAUUUUGUUGGUCUGCCCAGUUACAGGUUCACAAUCCCUUAACGCGUAUAAGUCAGUACGCUGCUCAGAAUUCAUUUCUACAGGGUGCAAGUCUUCUGCAUAAUCUUCUCUGUUUUUGUUGUUGGUAUUUUAUACUUAGUAUUUAGUUCUUUUGACAAAAGGGAGAUGCAUAAUCUUUUGAUCGAUAAGUAACUUAAGCCCUUGCAUUCAUAGUUUUCAAGAAUGGCUAUGAGGAUCUUUAAUCUCAUAGUAGUUUAGAAAUUUAGAUGCUCUCUAGUUCUACUAGCUUCUGUUUUAAAUUUUUUGCUUGGAGAAGUUUGAAAAAAAAAAAAAAAGGAUAUGAUAGUUGAUGAGCAUCUAAAUGGAACAGCUCGAGAAAACAGCAAAGAGUAAAUGUCAUAUAGAAGUGUCUUAUUUUGAUCAUAAAAUCUCCACAUAAAUCUCUUCCUAGACUUCUUGAUUUGAAACCAAAGUGCUGUUACUAAAACUCAGAUGAAGCUGGAAAAAAUUUGAACUGCUGGGACCAAUUUUUGAUUAACAAGUAAUAACAUUAAUUAGCUUGUUAGUAAGUUGAAGCCCACAAUAUACUUGCAUAAAUGAACACCUGUCAGUAGAUCAAAUGUGAGUUAUCACAUGUUGCUGGAGGGUAGUUUUGCAUGGAAAGUCGAAUAAAAACAAGAGCAAAGUGAUUGCUUCUGAGAAGAAGAAUUCUAGAUAGUAUUUCCUGAAUCUUUGGUCCUCUGUAACUUCUUGUUUUCAUUAAAUUCGCUGUUCUUUUUAUUCUUGACGUAAUGGGGAUAAGGUGGAGCAACUUCCGAAUUCCAACACUAAAAGCCAUACGAUAUUCCUCAGAUUGUUAAUAAUGCUCGAGUUUCUUGUCUGACUUCCAGUGGAUAUUACAGAGUACGUUCACCACAGAAUUGAGGGGAAGGUUACUGCUUAUCUCAAUUGAUUAGAUGAAAAGGAAUUAUAUGCAGGUGCAAGAUAGAGAAGGGAAAGUUGUAAACUGGUUGGUGUUCUGUUUUGAUGCUUGAUGGGAAAGUCGAGGAAGGAAUUGAGGGGAAGAAUAUAUUAAAAUGAGCCUCCCUUCCAUGUUUUCCAAACCAAGAUCAACACCAAAUUCUAGUUACAUCAAAACUUCUACAAGAAAAGAUAGACGAUGAAGGAUCCUCAGAUCGUGCUGGGUCGAGUGUUUUACAAGCGACAGACCAUCUUUUUCAGAUGCAGUUCAGGAGCAAAAUUAUGAGGAGAGAACGCAGCGAGCUGCUUUCUUUCAGGAAGUCAUCAUGUCAACUAUUUUCUAGGCUGGUCUGUUCUCUAUGUAAUACAACACAAUUUGGAUAUCAGGUUACUCUUAAUGGUGGAAGAUACUACAGUUUGCCUUGAUGUCAGUCAAUUAGGCUUGGUUACAUAUUGGCAUUGUAUGUUUGUAAUGAAUCGACUUAUAAGCAAUCAUGAUACCAGAUAAUGCAUCAGUAUUCUUUUAUCUGCGAGGAGGAGCCAUUUUGCUUUCUUACUUGUACUCUUGAGCAAGCAUUAUGGCAGCACUGCAUCAUCGGUUAUCACAGGGUAUUAAUGGCACUUUCAUGCUAUUGAACUAUUAUGUAUUAUCUUGAAGCUCUAAUGUACAGGAGAUAUUAGAAGGA